rnacentral:rRNA from 1 species
UAUCUCUGUAGAGUCUGCAUAUCAAUAAGCGGAGGAAAAGAGACUAACAAGGAUUCCCUUAGUAACGGCGAGUGAAGCGGGAAGAGCUCAAAUUUGAAAUCUUCAAGGUUCUGACCUUGACGAAUUGUAGUUUAAAGAAGUGUUUUCGGUUAGAGGAGUAGCUAAAAGUUCCUUGGAAUAGGACAUCAUAGAGGGUGAGAAUCCCGUAUUUGAUUAUUCAUUCUAGCUUUGUGAUACACUUUCAAAGAGUCGGAUUGUUUGGGAAUGCAGUCCAAAAUGGGUGGUAAAUUUCAUCUAAAGCUAAAUAUUGGCGAGAGACCGAUAGCGAACAAGUACCGUGAGGGAAAGAUGAAAAGAACUUUGAAAAGAGAGUUAAACAGUAGCGUGAAAUUGUCAAAAGGGAAGCGUUUGACACCAGUGUUGUUUUCUCGAAAAUCAAUUACAAAUGGCUUGAUUUUGUGUUGUAUUGACCUUAUCAAGCUUUCUUCACUUUUUUCGAGUCUUUCUUAAUGCACUUUUCGGUUAACAAGUCAACAUCAAUUUCUUUUGUUGUAAAAGAGUAUUCGGAAGGUGGCUUUCUUUUCGGAGAAAGUGUUUAUAGCCCUAUACUUCUACAAUCGGAGAGAUUGAGGUCUGCAGCGUAGAUCCUUCGGGGUUAGAUACACUUGUGCUAAGUUGUAGCUUUUCAUAGACAACUUGUUGACUAUGUUUAGUCAUGCGGCUUACUCGCUUGUGCUAUUUUACCUACGCUUAGGAUGUUGAACUACUGAGACAUAGA